rnacentral:rRNA from 1 species
GGGGGAUAUUGCACAAUGGGGGAAACCCUGAUGCAGCGACGCCGCGUGGAGGAAGAAGGUUUUCGGAUUGUAAACUCCUGUCGUUAGGGACGAUAAUGACGGUACCUAACAAGAAAGCACCGGCUAACUACGUGCCAGCAGCCGCGGUAAAACGUAGGGUGCAAGCGUUGUCCGGAAUUACUGGGUGUAAAGGGAGCGCAGGCGGACCGGCAAGUUGGAAGUGAAAACUAUGGGCUCAACCCAUAAAUUGCUUUCAAAACUGCUGGCCUUGAGUAGUGCAGAGGUAGGUGGAAUUCCCGGUGUAGCGGUGGAAUGCGUAGAUAUCGGGAGGAACACCAGUGGCGAAGGCGACCUACUGGGCACCAACUGACGCUGAGGCUCGAAAGCAUGGGUAGCAAACAGGAUUAGAUACCCUGGUAGUCCAUGCCGUAAACGAUGAUUACUAGGUGUUGGAGGAUUGACCCCUUCAGUGCCGUAGUUAACACAAUAAGUAAUCCACCUGGGGAGUACGACCGCAAGGUUGAAACUCAAAGGAAUUGACGGGGGCCCGCACAAGCAGUGGAGUAUGUGGUUUAAUUCGAAGCAACGCGAAGAACCUUACCAGGUCUUGACAUCCGAUGCAUAGUGCAGAGAUGCAUGAAGUCCUUCGGGACAUCGAGACAGGUGGUGCAUGGUUGUCGUCAGCUCGUGUCGUGAGAUGUUGGGUUAAGUCCCGCAACGAGCGCAACCCUUAUUGCCAGUUACUACGUAAGAGGACUCUGGCGAGACUGCCGUUGACAAAACGGAGGAAGGUGGGGAUGACGUCAAAUCAUCAUGCCCUUUAUGACCUGGGCUACACACGUACUACAAUGGCGUUUAACAAAGAGAAGCAAGACCGCGAGGUGGAGCAAAACUCAAAAACAACGUCUCAGUUCAGAUUGCAGGCUGCAACUCGCCUGCAUGAAGACGGAAUUGCUAGUAAUCGCAGAUCAGCAUGCUGCGGUGAAUACGUUCCCG